UCUUUCCAUGUUUAGCCCUCAAGUAAGACUUCCUAAAAUUCCAAUGAUCCGUCAUUUUUUUUCUUACAGAUUUCAUGGCCCCAUCACUUUCUGAAUAUCCUGAGGACCCUUCAAUCUGCCAUUCAAGAACCUGUUACCUGGCUCACUUUAUUGGUCUCCUCCAGUGUCUCCUACAUUUUCUAUUCAGCCAGCAUGGUCUCUUCCUGAGAAGCCAGCAUCAGGCUCUUGCAGGAGAGUGAUGGUGCAUAUUCAUUGUGUAGGUAAGAGAAUUUUUACAGGGGCCACUUUAAAAAGAUGUGUCCAGGAUAUAAGGAAACAGAAAGUAGAAAGCGGUUUUGCAUGGCUAGUAAGACUGGUACCUCCCCAGAGGCAGGGAAGAACCAGAGGG
rnacentral:lncRNA from 1 species